rnacentral:rRNA from 1 species
GAUGAACGCUGGCGGCGUGCCUAAUACAUGCAAGUCGAGCGAACAGACGAGGAGCUUGCUCCUUCGACGUUAGCGGCGGACGGGUGAGUAACACGUAGGUAACCUACCUAUAAGACUGGGAUAACUUCGGGAAACCGGAGCUAAUACCGGAUAAUAUUUCGAACCGCAUGGUUCGAUAGUGAAAGAUGGCUUUGCUAUCACUUAUAGAUGGACCUGCGCCGUAUUAGCUAGUUGGUAAGGUAACGGCUUACCAAGGCAACGAUACGUAGCCGACCUGAGAGGGUGAUCGGCCACACUGGAACUGAGACACGGUCCAGACUCCUACGGGAGGCAGCAGUAGGGAAUCUUCCGCAAUGGGCGAAAGCCUGACGGAGCAACGCCGCGUGAGUGAUGAAGGUCUUCGGAUCGUAAAACUCUGUUAUUAGGGAAGAACAAACGUGUAAGUAACUGUGCACGUAUUGACGGUACCUAAUCAGAAAGCCACGGCUAACUACGUG